rnacentral:rRNA from 1 species
AUUGAACGCUGGCGGCAUGCCUUACACAUGCAAGUCGAACGGUAACAGGUCUUUCGGGAUGCUGACGAGUGGCGAACGGGUGAGUAAUACAUCGGAACGUGCCUAGUAGUGGGGGAUAACUACUCGAAAGAGUGGCUAAUACCGCAUGAGAUCUAUGGAUGAAAGCGGGGGGAUCGCAAGACCUCGCGCGAUUGGAGCGGCCGAUAUCAGAUUAGCUAGUUGGUGGGGUAAAAGCUCACCAAGGCGACGAUCUGUAGCUGGUCUGAGAGGACGACCAGCCACACUGGAACUGAGACACGGUUCCAGACUCCUACGGGAGGCAGGCAGUGGGGAAUUUUGGACAAUGGGCGCAAGCCUGAUCCAGCAAUGCCGCGUGCAGGAUGAAGGCCUUCGGGUUGUAACUGCUUUUGUACGGACGAAACGGUGAGCUCUAAUAAAGCUUGCUAAUGACGUACCGUAAGAAUAACACCGGCUAACUACGUGCC